AUUGAACGCUGGCGGCAUGCCUUACACAUGCAAGUCGAACGGCAGCACGGGAGCAAUCCUGGUGGCGAGUGGCGAACGGGUGAGUAAUGUAUCGGAACGUGCCCAGUCGUGGGGGAUAACGCAGCGAAAGCUGUGCUAAUACCGCAUACGAUCUAUGGAUGAAAGCGGGGGAUCGCAAGACCUCGCGCGAUUGGAGUGGCCGAUAUCAGAUUAGGUAGUUGGUGGGGUAAAGGCCCACCAAGCCAACGAUCUGUAGCUGGUCUGAGAGGACGACCAGCCACACUGGAACUGAGACACGGUCCAGACUCCUACGGGAGGCAGCAGUGGGGAAUUUUGGACAAUGGGCGAAAGCCUGAUCCAGCCAUUCCGCGUGCAGGAUGAAGGCCCUCGGGUUGUAAACUGCUUUUGUACAGAACGAAAAGGUUUCUACUAAUACUAGGAGCUCGUGACGGUACUGUAAGAAUAAGCACCGGCUAACUACGUGCCAGCCGCCGCAGUAAAAC
rnacentral:rRNA from 1 species